rnacentral:rRNA from 1 species
AAACGACUCUCGGCAACGGAU